rnacentral:rRNA from 1 species
GUCUCUUAAUUCGAUAAUCCACGAAAACAAAACCUAGAUUUGAAUUUCAGCCUGUGUACUGCUGUCGUCAGUAAACCUCUAAAAGAUAGUUUACAAAUAUAUUUAAAGUAUUUACGUCAAGUCAAAGUGCAGCCAAUAUCUAGGAGCACGAUGGGUUACAAACUUUAGAAAGACACGGAUAAAUAAUUUAAUAAUUAUUUUAAAGGUGGACUUGAUAGUAAUGAUAAAAUUUAUUCAUAAAUAUUUUCCUGGAAUAUGCACACAUCGCCCGUCACUCUCGUC